UGACCAACCAUCCUCUUUUCGGAGCCAUCUUAUAAAUGACUAUAUUAUGUUCUAUGUCAUUAGAUUUAUGUUUUUAUUGAGACUUAUGUUAUUGUUAAUGGAUGAAAUUGUUAUGUAUGCUAGAAUGCUGGAUUGCUAUAAAUUUAUGUUUUCUUUCUUGAACUGCGUUGUGAUCGAUGUUCUGAAAAUCAGACCAGAUUGACUGGUGGCGGUUUGGGUUAUUAGUAGAAACCGGAUACAAAUUGCUGAACGGGUCGGGAAUCAGCCGGCAAAAUCGGACCAGGAUCCGGUCGGUUUACAGGAAACGACGCCGUUUCCUUUGUUGAACGGAAAAAAGGGAUUGCACGCGUUUGGCUCCCCCUUUCCAACUCCUUCCUUAGUCAUCAGCAAAAUGCCCUAGCCUCCACCAAAGAAAGCAAACCCUAGCCUCCACCAAUAUUGUCGCCGUCUGUCGGAGUGAGAGACUGCUGCUGCCGCAUCCGUCGCACUCAAGAACUUUCGUCUUCGUGCUAUCGGCGUUCGUUACUUCGCCCCCACCAUCCUCUGUUCGCUCUCAUCAGUCAUCUGUUCGCUCUCCAUUCCCUGUUCGCUCUCAUCAGUCGCCUUUUCGCCGUCGUCCGUUGCGCUCAACCGCUCUCCGUCGUCGUCAAUGCUCACUGCUAGUGCCUGUUCAUCGUGUUUUUUUAUUGUCUGUUCAGAAACCAAACCCUCUUCAUGCUUGUUCCCCGAUGAUACCAAAGAAUAUAUUACAAAUUACAUAUUUAGAUUGAUUUAGGUUCUCAUACUUUGGAGAUUGUAGUUAGAUUUUUGGUAAGUUAUCCUUGUUAAAGUUUCUGACAUAAUCCUUGAAGAUAGGUGGUUUUUUGCCAUUCAUGGUUUUUAAAAAAAAAAUAAAUAAUGAAAAAAAGGAAUGUGCUGCUUUGUUGUCUUGGACUAUUGCAGUGAGCUUGUUCUAUUUUAAUCAUGCUUGCUUGGCCCAAGUAAACAAAUAAAUAAAUAUGAAAGGGCAUGUGAUGUCUUGUUUUUUUGUUUAAAUCAAACAUAUUUACUAAUAACUUGGGGAGGGAUAAUUUAAUAAUGAGAACCAAUGGGGACUUCAGUCAGAGGGGGAGGGAGAAGGAGAGAGUAACGGCAGCUCCAUGAUGCAUUCAUGUAGAAGUUUUGAUGACACACCAACCUCGAAAGACAGCAACCACAUGUUCAAAAUCAGAGAUAAUCUUUUAUGUACACUCAAUAUAUGCUGUGAUUGUCUGAAUGAUAAUGAAGUAAUGGUGUGUGAUAAUGGUGAUGCUUGGACAAAUGAAAAAUUUGUGAUGCAUAAAAAAUAGGUAAUAACAAAGGAGAGAUUGGAUGAAUUGGGUUCUUUUGCUGAAAAAGAUUUUGCCCGUCUGAUGAAUGAAUCAUUUCUUUCUUGAGAAGUUCUGUGGUGUGGAUUAGAAAAAACAUCCAUACAUAUAGAUAGUGAGGUGUGUAUAUCAGGUAAUAACGCGUGGCUUCUUUCUUCUGACUUGCAUGGAGAACUGCAAGCACAAAAGGCUAUCACUGCAGGUUUAUGUAGACGUUGUUGUACUUGGCGCAAGUUUAGUUUAAGAAAAUUAUUAUUAAUGUGAUUGAUUAUCAUGUUUGGAAAUUGGGCUGAAACUUUUUGAACUUGCUUAGGGUAAAUGGGCUUCUUGUUUUGUACAAAAUGAGAUUAUACAAUUUACUUUGAAUUUCUUUUAUCAUUUA